rnacentral:lncRNA from 1 species
CCCUCAUCGCCACCACCCACAACCACAAAUCAUACACAAACCUCCUGUGUGUAACAUGUGUUUGGUUGCUAUUUAGGGAUCUGACGACUUGGUUAAGGCGGUAGAAGUCCAUUAAGGAUUUAAGAUAGUACCUUUGAAUAUCCUACUGUGAAUCUCUUAUACGAAGAUAUGGAAGAUUCUACGAGGAUUUGGAUCACACAAAACAUAAAAGGGAACACAUAAGCACAUAAUCAAAUAAUUGUUUAAUUUGACCUUAAAUUUAUUAUCUUUGGACACAGAUAUUUAAAGCACACCAGGAAUCCAAUCCGUGGAUUUCAUUUGGCACUUUAAUCAUUUUCAAGAAUCUAUCUAUGAAGAUAGGAAAAUCUUAAUAGGAAUUCGGCUUUGUCCUUAUUGAAUCGUAAUUUAUGUAUUGAAUCAUACAAAGAAUUCAAUUAAGGGCUCCGAUGAAUGAUACCCAUCCACAAGGAUCUAAUUAUGAGGAUAGAAAGAUCCUACAUGGAUUUUGGAGUUUGUGUAACGAGAGGUGUUCCGACACCUUGCACUAGGCGUGCUUAAGUCGAUACACAAGGUAGAAAGUUCAUGAGGUUGAGGCGCUAGAUACGCCAAGGCGACAUAUGAAGCAGAAUUUGAAGGUUGAGCCGCAGCAGGAUUUGUAACAACUCUGCUUUGGAUUGCAAAGCGGCACAUGUUAACCAAAUGUCCCCAUCGUCCACCGUGGGUACAUUUGAAACAGGGUAUUUGAUUCGGAUGAUGACGUUGGCAUUGAUUGCACCGAGGAGAAGUUCCCUUAUACGGCUUCAUCCCUGAGGCGAAUCAUGGUGAUAGCUAAAUCAACGGUCCUCUAGAGUAUGACGCCUAUUCGCUGGGUAAUUGCAGCACCUGGUUCGGGCAUUUGAGUGUUGUUGCGAUGAAGAGGCAUCUUGAAGAUAAUGGAAGGCAUAGGAGGAAACAAGCGAAAGAUAAUCAAAAGAGAAAGACAACACAUGAAGAUUGUGACCAUUUGUUUGUUACCAAAGGCAAACAAAUGAGAUGGUGACUAAUCAAAGUAAGAGUGACUGGUCCGAUACUGCGGAUUUGUACGGACACUCUAGCCUUAGACAGAAGACCCGGGGUACGGGCACCCACCCUUCCAGUUUGCACGUGUUCACAUUAAUGAGACCCAUACUUUGACGAGAUCUUGAAAACUUAGAAGGUUCAA